AGAAAUGAAUUAAUCGCACCGGUUCGGUUCGAACCGGUGCGAAAGCUAUUGUUAAAUAAAAAAAAACGGGUCAUACUCUUUUUUUCUCUUUCAUCCUCGAUCUUUCCUCCUCUCUCAUCUGCCUCUCUCUUUCCUCCAUUGAAGCGUACUCGAAAUUCUCCGUCAAUUUUUCCUUCUUUCUAUUUCCCCUCUUCGUUCUUUCUGUUUCCCCUCUUCCUUCUUAUCUCUCUCUUCUCUCAAACAAACCCUAAUCUACUGAAGAAAUCGGCCUUAAACGGCCUGCUACCCUCCUUCGAAAACCGGCGUCAAUUCGAACCAAGGACAACCAUCAUCGCCGCCGUCGUCUAUUUCUUGAAUCUACAAUAUUGGAGGUUAGGGUUUCUGGGUGCGUCUAUUUUGAAUCAAUUCGAUGUGCGUGCAUCUUCAACAAUAACAAAUUCGAAUCAAUUUCGAACCAAAAAUCAGAAAUUCGAGAAUUCGUGGUGUCAAGAUAUCUAAGGUUAUUGAGAUCUCUGAUGAUGAGUCCCCUGUUACACCUAAUGUGGGGGGGUUAAUCCUCCACAAGGUGCUAGUGUUGAGGCCGCCUAUGGUUGGUCUUGAGGCUCAAGGUGGAGACUUUGCAGAAGUAGAUGGAGGAGGCCCUGUUGAGGACUCAGAAGAUGAGUUGGGAGUUGGUUCCCCAACUAAAUGAAAGCUUCAACAUAAUUUUCUGGUCAUACUCAGAUUUUUGCAUCAUAUGGACUGUCUUCACGAGCACCUAGUUGCACUUGUUUGAUUAUUACAAAUCUGGAGCUUCAUUUAAGGAACCAGAUUCAUUCACUGCUGGAGACACACCUACAAUUGUGGACACAGAUGUAGGCCGCAUUGGGAUCUGUAUCUGUCAUGACAUUCGCUUCCCAGAGCUUGCUAUGAUGUAUAGAGCAAAAGGUGCUGACUUGAUUAUUUAUCCUGGUGCAUUCAACAUGAGCACUGGAAAAAUGCUCUGGGAACUAGAAACAAAAGAAAGGCAAGUACUUAGCUAACAGAUCAAAGUUCCGCCUUAGAAAAUGUGUUUGAUAUUUGACCUUGAAAAAGCUUUUCUAUAUGUAAUAUCUGUAUCCAAGUUAAAAGCUCACUCAUUUUCCACUCUCUGCAAUUUCAUUGUCCUGUUUAAAUUCUUACAGGGGAACUGUCUGAUAUGCUAGUGUCCAUGCUCAUUUAAGGAGAACUAGCAGCAGAAUAGAUGAUCUAGAAUCUCUUGCUUAUACCCUCAUUUUCCUCAUCCGCGAUUUUCUCCCAUGGCAAGGUUUUCAGGGAGACAAUAAGGGGUUUCUUGUCUGCAAGAAGAAAAUGGCAACAUCUCUAGAUGGGAUUUGUUCUUCAUGUCCAAAGCCAUUCCAAGAAUUUCUUGAGCAUGUAGUGAAUUUGAAGUUUGAUGAGGACCCCAAUUAUACAAAAUAUAUCUCUCUUUGACAAGAUUGUUGAUUCAAAUCCUGAUGCGAGGCCAAUAAAUAUUGAUGGUGCAAAAAAUUGUCAGGCUGGUCAAAAAAUAGGUCGGCUUACUAUUGACAAUGAGGAUGAGGAUAAAGAUGAAGAUGAACAGGUCAAAAAGAAAGUUCGGUUAGGGGUGCUUGCAGUGUAGUGGAUCAGUGUUUAUGAUGCUCGACGCCCUCUGAAGCAAAGGUAUCACUAUAAUGUUGCAGAUGUGAGGGUCGACUCACAUAUUGAGAAAGGACAUAAUGAUGGUAUGUUUAUCACUAGUUUGGCAUCAAGUGAUAAUCUGUGGGCCCUUAGCAUGGAUUCUGGUAGUGGAUUUAGCGCUCAAGUUUAUUCGCGCUCUCCAUAUUUCUUCAACAAGGAUUGGAUAAUGGAGAUGUGGGAGAAGAAUUAUUAUAUUUCUGCAGCUGCAGGAACGAGAACUAGACAGUCAUUGAUCGUCUUAUGAUUGAAAUAUUUGGACAUGUCAAUCUAUCUCCUAAAUCUGUGAUUUUGGGUUCUUUGACAUGUACACCUUUUCAGAUAAUCAGGUGUUUGUUGCUGUUUGUUCACCAUGCCGAGAUUCAGCUGGAUCUUACACAAUUUGGGGUCAUUCCAUGAUUUGUUAUGCCUAAGUUUCAUUGCAUAUGCAGUUGUUGUUAGUUUUGUAUUUUAUUUUUUUGGACGAAAAUUGUAAUAAUACAACCUUUUUUUAAUGAGAAUA